rfam:Picea glauca, whole genome shotgun sequence.
UGUUAUGUACAUGUCUACAAAGUUAAUGCACUAGAUCCCAUCAGAAAUUCGCAGUUAACCAUGCUUGGGCUAUAGUAGUAUUGGGAUGGGUGACGUCAUGGGAAUUCCCAGUGUUUUUCAUGC